CACAGGGAGGGUGAAUAGUUUGAGGAGAUUAAUGGCAAUGUAGCCUUUUACUGCAAUCAAAGUUUUUAAAUUUAAAUAGUCAUCAUAUUUUGUGAUCACGCCUCAUGAUCAAGCUGUAAUUCUGGCUAUCUUGGAAUCGCAUCAAAGCUGUCAGCUUAACAAAGACGCCCCUGUGGAUUGUCUUGAGAAAUCAACUUCCCCUGUGCAUCUAAAGAAAUGCAACCCAUUCUCAGGGAGCCACAAUUCCUGCUUUCACGACAUUAUUGACACGAUUACAACAUGCUACAGGACACUGGGAAAAUAACGACUCUCUCCAGGGCUCAGUUCUGCACCUCCAAAAUGUGGAAACUGGUCCCUUUUCUCCUGCCUGUGAAAACUUUUGCGAUAGCCUGGC